rnacentral:rRNA from 1 species
CAGACGGGUGAGUAAUGCAUGGGAAUCUACCCAGCUCUACGGAAUAACUCAGGGAAACUUGAACUAAUACCGUAUGCGCCCUUCGGGGGAAAGAUUUAUCGGAGUUGGAUGAGCCCAUGUCUGAUUAGCUAGUUGGUGGGGUAAAGGCCUACCAAGGCGACGAUCAGUAGCUGGUCUGAGAGGAUGAUCAGCCACACUGGGACUGAGACACGGCCCAGACUCCUACGGGAGGCAGCAGUGGGGAAUAUUGGACAAUGGGCGAAAGCCUGAUCCAGCCAUGCCGCGUGAGUGAUGAAGGCCCUAGGGUUGUAAAGCUCUUUCACCGGUGAAGAUAAUGACGGUAACCGGAGAAGAAGCCCCGGCUAACUUCGUGCCAGCAGCCGCGGUAAUACGAAGGGGGCUAGCGUUGUUCGGAAUUACUGGGCGUAAAGCGCGCGUAGGCGGAUCGGUCAGUUAGGGGUGAAAUCCCGGGGCUCAACCCCGGAACUGCCUCUAAUACUGCCGAUCUAGAGUUCGAGAGAGGUGAGUGGAAUUCCGAGUGUAGAGGUGAAAUUCGUAGAUAUUCGGAGGAACACCAGUGGCGAAGGCGGCUCACUGGCUCGAUACUGA